GAUGAAGAACGUAGCGAAAUGCGAUAAGUAGUGUGAAUUGCAGAAUUCAGUGAAUCAUCGAAUCUUUGAACGCACAUUGCGCCCCUUGGUAUUCCAUGGGGCAUGCCUGUUCGAGCGUCAUUUCAACCCUCAAGCACAGCUUGGUGUUGGGACUCGCGUUAAUUCGCGUUCCUCAAAUUGAUUGGCGGUCACGUCGAGCUUCCAUAGCGUAGUAGUAAAACCCUCGUUACUGGUAAUCGUCGCGGCCACGCCGUUAAACCCCAACUUCUGAAUGUUGACCUCGGAUCAGGUAGGAAUACCCGCUGAACUUAAGCAUAUCAAUAAGCGGAGGA
rnacentral:misc_RNA from 1 species